GCAAGUCGAGCGAGAGGACAGGAGCUUGCUCCUGGGCUCUAGUGGCAGACGGGUGAGUAACGCGUGGGCAAUCUACCUCCGAGUGCGGGAUACCAGACCGAAAGGGCUGUUAAUACCGCAUAAUAUCUAGAUCCGAUCUCGGGUUUAGAUCAAAGUAGGGGAUCGACGAAAGUCGACCUUAUGUUUGGAGAGGAGCUCGCGUCAGAUUAGCUCGUUGGUGGGGUAACGGCCUACCAAGGCAACGAUCUGUAGCCGGCCUGAGAGGGUGAUC
rnacentral:rRNA from 1 species